GCCAGCGCUGAGUUCUUCCAACCUAUCAUCUCCUCCUCCUUCUGGGUUGGGGAUUUUUGGGGGCUGGUGGGGGUGGCUUAGUAGGCCGGCUGGAUUGUUAAUCUGGGCAGCAGCCGGAGUCCUGGGAAUCAAUGGGAAUCGACGCGCCGAGGUUUUACUACUACAGCAGCUCCUGGACUGGAGGAAGAAAGCGAGAGGCAGGGAAAUAAACUAAAAGCAAAGCAGCAGCACCCCCCCCCGCCCAGGAUCGCUCGCGCUCUGCGUUUCUCCGCGCUCCGCUCAGCACCCAGGGAAUCGAGGAAGGGAGCCGAAGAAAGGCGGCCAGAGGGUGGACUAGGAGCCGGCGGAGAAGCGGACUCCGAGGAAGCGGCGGAAGAGGAGCUUUGCCCCGCUGGGGCGUUUGGCGUCUUCUGGCUUUCGGCUUGUUUUGCCCUUUUGAAAACUGUGGCAACAACUUUUGGGAGUUGCGGGUCACGGCUUCUGGGAAGGUCCUCCGGUCCAGAGCAGCAGGCCAUGCCCAGCGCUUAAAAGGGGCGGCCGGGAGAGAAGACCUCGCCACCUGAGAGGGGCUCCCCUCGUCCUCGGCUUGGCGGGGGCCGAGCGCGCCUUCCGCGAGGGCGAGCCGAGAGGACGCUGCGCGCUUGCCAUCGCGGGCGCUGAGCGGAGGGAGACGAGGCCGCCGCCUGGACCAUGUAAUUGGGGAGCCCAGGAGAGCGUCCUUCCGAGUCUCCUUCUUCCUUGUCCCUGCCAAAAAAUAGCAGAAGAUCAAAGCCCGACGAUGACGAAGAAGCCGGCACGAAGAGUGCUCUGCUGGGUCAGCUUCUUCGCGAUCGCCGGCACCUUCCGCCUCGGCGCUGCUCAGUCAGGUGCGCUCCGCUUCUGCCCCGCGGGUCGCGGCUCUCGCUCUGCUUCUUUCUAGGGUUCCUUUGGAUCAUUUCCCCGCGCCGAUCCAGCCGAGGUUCCUUCCUUCCCCCGUUUUACAUGUCCUCUGAAGAUCGGCAGACUUUCCCUCCCUCUCUAUAAAUAAAUCUUAGCGGCUUUUCAUGCUCCCAGAAGGACACCCCUGGAUAAUAUUUCAAACUGGGAGAUUUGGUACAGGCAGCUAAAGCAAGUUGAGGGGGUGGUUUGCUUCUUUCCAGGGGCCGCUGCCACCUGCUUCCCUCUGCGGCGCUUUAUUUGGGCGCGCGCGCUUGUGGUGCAGGAUCCCGUUUUCUUUUAAAACGCACUGAAACGAUUUGGUUCGAGACGGGCCUCUGGCUCGGAUUCGGCUACAAGCAGAGGCUCCGGAGCAAGCGAGCUCUUGGAGCCGGGCGCCAGGGAGAAGGUGGCUCCAGUCCUUCUGUAGCCCUCGGCGGAGGGCGCUUCUGGCAAAUGCGCGUCCGGCGCUGUCGAGGCUGGCAGGUGCCUCUCGCUUGUGGCCCCAGGGUGUGUGUGGCGGGGAGGGCUGGGGCCGGCUUUCUUCCAGCGGAACAGCAGCCCACCGGUUCUGGUUGCCCUCGGACAGGGCUGCGGAGGUGAACGGGGUCGUUUCUGGUUUCUGGACGGCGCUGAGUUGUCCGGGCAGGCGGGCUAUCGGUUGGCUUGGAGAGGAGAGCCGGGAGGCGGGGAGGCUUCUUGGCACCCGAACGAAGGGGCAUGAUCCAACCCGGUCCCAGCACGUUCCACGCCUCCGUUGGUUUCCACAGGAAGGCUGGCAGGAGCCCCGUCCCCUCCGUUCCCCUGGAGCUGAGCGUGAGGGUUUAACUUUGGGUGGAUCCUGCCCGAGGUGCCCUGCUUUGUUUGGUGUAAGGGUCCUCCGGGAGAGGGAGACGAAGCCCCCUUGUUUGCAGCUGCCACCUGGAGGAACGGGUACUGAAUACAGAUCGGGGCUUUUCCAGCUGGCUUAUCCCCGCUCGGCGCCCCGGGCGCCUCUUGGAACAGGAGAUCCUCCCUCCCUCCCUGCGCAGGAGCUUCUCCUUUCUGGGUGGCGGGCUUCGCUUGUGGGUCCUUCUCUUACUGACCCAGAGGCACGACCCCUCGCAGGUGGGUGGGGAGAGAUCAGGGUCAGCCAGGUUUGCUUUCCGGGGAGGGCCGGGCAGGAUCUGAGCGCAAAGUUGGACACACUUUGAUCUCUCCUGCCGGGAUGCUGUAGCCAGGAGCUGCUUCUCCCAACGGAUCUUGUUUUCUUGGUAGUAAAGAGUCCAGAGAAUUUCACUGGCGUUUACUUCCAAGAAAGGAGGCGAAUUAGGAUAAGUUACUGCUCCCAAGAAUCUAGACCUUUGGGCACCAGGGUGACAUAAACAGACAAAGCUUCGGAAGGUGGUGGACUCGCCUUCAUUGGAGGUUUUGAAGCGCGGGGGGGGGGGGGGCAUCUGCCAUGGAAGCUUUAGCUGAGAUUCCUGCGUUGCAGGGAGUUGGACUAGAUGACCCUCGGUGUCCCUGCCAACUCUACAGUUCUGUGAUUGUCCGCUAGCCCUCCUUGGCUUCUGUUGCGCUCGCAGGGCUGUUUGCUGGGCCGAAUUCUAUGGACUUUUCUUGCGUGUCGCUGCCACGCACGUUUUGCUGUUGACUCUUGACGCCUUUGGAGGAGCCGCGGCUCCAGAUAAGCGUGCCAUAAAUGUCCAGAUGAAUGCAGGACUCUAGUCUCCUUCGCUCCGCCCUUGCUUUUGAUCCCCCUCGAUCUUGGGGGUGGGGGUUCAGAAGGCACUGUUGAUUCCCCUCGCCCAAAAGCAGAAAGAUUUCUUUCGACUGGGCGUUUCAUAGGGUCGAGGAUUUUUCUCGAAGGGGCUUUGUGGCUCUUGAUGGUUUUGGUCCAAAGCAAUUUUUUGCUAUUAGUUUGAGCUUCUGGGGUUUCGCGGUUUUUUGGGGAUUCCCUCUCUUCUCAGCAACUUUCUCUCUCCCUCUCUCCCCAAACACCUACUUUAUUCUGCAAUGCUCUUAAAGAGAGCAUCACUGUGUUUUUAUGUUGCUUUAGAGUAACUGGUAGCAAGUGCUGCUUUUUUUUCUUUUUCAAGCCUUCUGCUGCUCAGGUUUUCAAUGAUGGAACAUUUGGGCAAGAGACUGGAGCAAAGAUGUGGGCAUUUGCAAAUGGCAACACCACUGCUUGGCUCGGGAAAGGCAAAGGCAAAGAUAUACCGUAGAUGCAAUAGAGACGUCUGUGUGUGCAUGUGAAAGAGAGACAGUAGGAGAGAAACAGAGAACUGAUAAGAACAUGUUUUGUUUUACUGGACCAAUGACUUUAUACAAGUUUCAGGUGCCAUCAAAUUUCCUUUGUGCUGAAUGGAAGUAGUGCAAACUACUCAGCUCCACUCAGCAAAGCAGACAUAAAUAUGGCAGGAUGAAACUGCCCUCUGAAAACAAUAGAUGCUUUAGGAAUAGUUCCGUGUUACUCAGAAGCUUGCCAGCUCUCACAAAACAUUGACAGGGCCAAAGACAAUGCAGGUGCUUGUGGGAUCUCCUAAGGCAAAUCUCUAGGAAAGUCAUCCUGAGCAAGCCCCACUGACAACAGUAGAGGUCUCACACGUCUCCCAUUCAUUUUAGAGGAGCUUUUACAAGAUAUUUUCCCAGUGGAAUAUUCUUUCAUGUCCAGGGCCCACCCCCCUGCAGCAACUGCCUGUCUCAAUCUCUCUAUGUUUGUGUGUGGAGAAAUGGAGAGGUACAGCUAAUCAUCCCCUGGUAAAUCUACACAGGGAGCUCUUUUUCCUUGUCUUUCCUUCCCUUCAGCCAGUAGCAGUUUGGAGGAGUUUGUUUUGGUCCAAAUGAGAAAUUAACUGUGGAUAAGUAAACUGAGCUGCCAGAGGGCGACAAGAUGUUGAGUGAAUUGCUUUUAGAUGAAACAAAUUAAGGAAACGAGGGGAGACAAUCUGCUUCUUGCAUUAUUAGACACGGCUUGGAGUUCAGGGGGGAAAGUGGUGUAUUUUUGAAAUGCUAAUUCCUUAAGAAGUGGGAGGGAUGCACCUUAUUUACUGCUCUAUGCGAACAGCAUGGGAAUUCAGGCUGCUGGGUGUAUUUUUUUGUUUUGGUACGCUACCAAAAUAAAAAUAAAAAUAAGGAAGCAGAUUUUGUUUUGAGUUCUUUUCUCCAAAGAAAUCGCAAGAAAUUCUCCCUGUGUGUUUGGUUAAUUUUAUUGCUUGAAUAAUAUAUGGACAACCCCAGUCUCUGAGAUUUAUUUAAAAGAGGAGUGCCGCCUCAUUUCAUACUGGGAUGUUUCAUUAUUUUUAGACCCAUUAGCAAAACAUUUAAGCCUACUGUUCUUGGAGACAAAAAUCAAAUAGGAAAGGAAACCCCUUUUACGGGGCCAGUUCUCACUGGUGUUGGAAUCUUGUCCAUCAAGGGAGAUGGGUCCAGUAAAAAGGUAUUAUCUUACCUAGUUUCUUGAAUUAUAUUUAUGGACUGAAUGGAACUGGGACUUAAUGGAAGUUUUCAGGUUGUAAAUUGUCCUAAGGAAAACUAUAGCGCAUUGAAAUCUUUUAACACGAUUAGGAUCUGGCUGUAUGUUGGCAUAAAUCCUUUUGGUCCAGCUAAAAUGGACAUGUGUGGGAUUAUGUUGCAUGUUGUUUACGAGUGCAGAUCUCACUGCUCAUGCUUCUCUGCAGCACCUUUCUUUAAAAAUUAACACCAUCACCAUAACCUCCCACACAUAGUAAAGUGAUUGUUUUGUGUGCUGGACAGAUUUGAUCAGGCAUUCUGGUCCACACACAUUAUGUUGCAUUGUUUAAUUUGGAUCUCUGCCUAAGGCAUACAGGCCAGCUAUUUUUCCUUCACGAUUUUAAGGUGUCUCCAAACAUGGUUGACUAAAUCCAGAUAAAUGUGAGGUUCUGAUUACAUGUGAGCCAGAAGCCAGAUAAUCAUAUUGGAACUGAGAGACAAAAUAUAGUCAAGAGUAAAAGUUCGAUUUAAUUUUAAGGCAAUAAGGGGGCUGUGUUGUCUUUGAUCCUCUUUUUAAAAGAAUUCCCGUUUUUAUAUACAUUUGUGGUUCCUGUGAGCUUGAAAUGACAGAUAGCCUUGAUUAUAUUCGGUCCAUUCUGCCCAAAUAGGGAUAUUUAUAUUAGUUGCAAUCUAUUGCAUUUCCCCAGUAGGCCUAAAAGAGUUUAAACCUGGCUUAGGUAAACAGUUGCAAGCUAAAUGUGAGAGCCAUGAUAAAUCUCAACAGACAAAGAUGUGAAAAAGUUUGGCAAAUGCUAGCCUUUUGAUUUACAUAUACUGCGGCUUUCCAUUCUGUUCUUAUAGCACGAAGCUUCCUGGCAUACUGAGAAAGAAGCAGAAUAUUCAUUCUUCAAAUCAUUGUUUUAGGAAAACUUUUUCUGGUGUGUACUGUUUUCCUCUUUUUACAAUUCUACUGAAUUGUUGUUGUUUUUGUCCAUGAAUGUUACUUUGGUCUUUUGUCUAUUUUUAGUUAACUGAUCCUCUUGUAUUUCCUUCUGUUAGGCUUUUUCCAUUGGCAAUUGCAGGAUAUUAAUAAUUCUACUUAUUUUUGCACAAGCCUUUCUUCUCUGUUAGCCAUAGUUGAAAUAUCAUUUCUUAUUCCCUCUGUGUUUUGCCUCUUGUUCUUUUCUUGCUGGCUAACCUUCCUUCCUUCCCCUUAUCAACUGUCUUUCCUUUUCGUUCGGUCGUUGCCUAGUCUUUCCCUCCGUGUUAUUUCUUCUCUAGGUGUCUUUGUUUUUUGCCGUUACUAGAGUUAAUGACCCUAACCCACCGUCUAGUUUUGCUAGAGCGCCUAGACUUUAGGUGUGUAAUCCUUAGCAUGUUUUCUUAGAAAUAAGCCCCACUGUGUUCAUUUAGCUCCAGGGAAAUCAGUGUAGUAUCGAGCUGCAUGUCACAAAUUUUUCCUUUUUUUAAACAUAAAUAAAUAAAUAAAUCACAAUAUGUAAAAAAUAACUUACAGUAAUGGAGCCCUUUCCUUCAUAAUCUGAUGUAGUCCAACUCUAGAAUCCAUUGAUACUUAGCUGCCUUUAGGUUUCACUGUGUUUGUCUGACUGACUAGAUUGUCUUGAAUCUAAACCCUUCAGUUUAACUGGAUGGUGGAUGGAGCCUGAGCUGCUCUCUAUUUACCCAUCUCUGAACAAUCUGAUAUGGCUGGCUGAGUGGACAAUCACAAAGCUAUUCUGCUGCCCAGAUUUAUUCCUGAAAGAAAAUAAAAUGGCAUCGAUCCAGGGUCACUUGCUCUUUAGAACACUGACUCCCAAGGCCGAACUGGUCCUUAACAGGAUGUUGAUGCCUCCCCUGGGCACAAUCUCUUAUAGCUUCUCCUGGCUCCAGAGGGAAGAAAGACACUUUAGUUAAACAGAAGUGUUUUAAUUGUAAACAUUUGCUGAUCCAUUGUCGACCUAUUAUCUCAUGACGGAUGCAUCCUCUGAGAGGAGGUCACUGCAUUAAGCUGCAGUCCACAAGCAGCCUUGCUCUGUAUGACUGCUGGUGCCGCCUCACGUUCUCAGUGAGAGUUGAGCGGAAGUGUUUCAGAGCGGGUGGCUCCUAAACUGGAGAACUGUACACCUUGGGGGGAAAUAAGGGGCACCCGUGCCUCUCCCAUGCAUUUCAGAGAACCUUGCACGGGAGAUGAUCAUGGUGGAAUUUGGCCAGCGGCAUAUGUUGGAUGGUGUGUCCAGCAGGGGAGAACUUUCACCUUCAGGGGCUCACGUUGCCUAAUUUCAUGCAGGGUGGGGUGGGGAGAAACCUGAAAUGGGUGGAAUGAUGGGAGGAGGAGAAAAGCCCUUUGCAAGCCUUCAGUCCAGACUUCCAGCAAGAGUGAUUUGUCCAUUCUCCAGCAGGGAGAAAGAGGCAAAGG